UUCAUGUUCUUUAUUAAAGCUACAUUGCAAUUUGCAAAACGUUAAUCUAUUCUAGUUUCUACUAUACGUGUUCAAACAAUUAUCUUUCGUUUACCCAUAUUUAUAUAAAUAGCGAAAUAAGAACAAACAUUUUGGCUGUUAUGUCUUCUAUCUGUACGUAUAAUUUUGCCCCCGUCCGUUUCAUUUUACUUCGCUGCUAAGCUUCUUUAUACAUCAUCAGCUCUUCACACCCUUCAUUA